ACGAAUGACUAUAUUCUUCUUCUUCUUUUAUUUUUUUUAUUUUUACCCGUUAGGCCGUUAAAUUUUAAAAUACAAAGAAAAUGUUUUCUUUAAAAUAAAUAAAAAACAUUCAUGAUAAAAAAAAACAUAAAAUACGAUAGCGCAUAUUGUUUUGUUUUGUUUACACUUUAUUUUCUCAAAUCUUUUAUUUACCACUCAAAUUAGC
rnacentral:lncRNA from 1 species